rnacentral:rRNA from 1 species
AGAGUUUGAUCAUGGCUCAGAUUGAACGCUGGCGGCAUGCCUUACACAUGCAAGUCGAACGGCAGCACGGGAGCUUGCUCCUGGUGGCGAGUGGCGAACGGGUGAGUAAUACAUCGGAACGUACCCUGAAGUGGGGGAUAACGUAGCGAAAGUUACGCUAAUACCGCAUAUUCUGUGAGCAGGAAAGAGGGGGGUCGCAAGACCUCUUGCUUUAGGAGCGGCCGAUGUCGGAUUAGCUAGUUGGUGAGGUAAAGGCUCACCAAGGCGACGAUCCGUAGCGGGUCUGAGAGGAUGAUCCGCCACACUGGGACUGAGACACGGCCCAGACUCCUACGGGAGGCAGCAGUGGGGAAUUUUGGACAAUGGGCGCAAGCCUGAUCCAGCCAUGCCGCGUGAGUGAAGAAGGCCUUCGGGUUGUAAAGCUCUUUCGGUGGGGAAGAAAUUGCUUCGGUUAAUACCUGGAGUAGAUGACGGUACCCGCAUAAGAAGCACCGGCUAACUACGUG